rnacentral:tRNA from 1 species
UUGAACUUAAACCUCAAAUAUAAAGUUUAUCCUUUUUUUAGAA